AUACGUAGGGGGCGAGCGUUGUCCGGAAUUAUUGGGCGUAAAGGGCGCGUAGGCGGUGACGUAAGUCAGGUGGUAAAGGCACGGGCUCAACCGGUGUUAAGAACCUGAUACUACGUUGCUAGAGUGCAGGAGAGGGAAGUGGAAUUCCAGGUGUAGCGGUGAAAUGCGUAGAUAUCUGGAAGAACACCAGUGGCGAAGGCGGCUUUCUGGACUGUAACUGACGCUGAGGCGCGAAAGCUGGGGGAGCAAACAGGAUUAGAUACCCUGGUAGUCCCAGCCGUAAACGAUGAACACUAGGUGUAGGGGGUAUCGACCCCCCCUGUGCCGCAGUUAACGCAAUAAGUGUUCCGCCUGGGGAGUACGGCCGCAAGGUUGAA
rnacentral:rRNA from 1 species